AAGUAAUACAGUUAGUUCUGAGAGACAGAGCCCCACUCUGUAUCGAAGGUUGGCCUGGAACUCAUGGUGAUCCACCUGCCUCAGUUUCCUGAGUUCUGGGAUUAUCAUCACCAGCCACCAUAAUGAAGCUUAUUUGUUUAUCAUAUUAAGAGAGAGUUUUCCCCUCUGGAGUGUAUCUAUCUCUAAUCAUACACAUGCAAACAUUUCAUAAAUGAUGCUUGUUAUAGAUGUGCCCCCAGCUUUAUUGAGGUAUAACUGAAAGACAUUAAUUAUAUACAUUUAUGACAUAUAAUGUGGGGUUUUAAGAUAUGUAAUCAUUGUAAAACAAUUAUCAAGCUAAUUAACUGUUGUUCAGCUAUUUUUUUUUUCCAGACUGAAGCAUUCCCUCCUGGAGGAAGGCUUCUACUACUGAUGAAGUAAAUGAAAUAAGCCCAGGCAGUAAACAAAGCUUGUAGGUCACAGGAAGCUCCUGAAACUUAGAAGAGUCACAAAGCCAUAUAUGUAGUAGUAACAGCAGCUGGGCAGAGGAGACUUAAAGACCCACCAGGCUGCCUGCAAGUUGUGCAUGGAGUUCUGGGCAUGUGACUGUCCUGAGUCCUCUCCCCAGCUGGGGUGCUCUUUAGCUUAUGCAGUUGCAACUGAGUCACAGUGCUCCCGUGAGUAACUCUCAUCAGGAGUCCUGUAAGUAACUUCAGUAAACUGGCUCACCAGGCUAGGCUUAACAUCUUCUGUUUUUUUCUUUUUUUGAGACAGGGUCUCAUUUUGUAGCCCUUGUUGAGCCUGACUUUGUUAUAUAGACCAGCGCGGCCUUGAACUCACAAUGAUUAGAACUAUAGGGAUAUGCCACUGUGCCUGGCAAUUUCUUUGGUCUGUCCUUGUUGCUAAGUCUGUGGAUCUCUGUGAGUUCCAGACCAGUCUGGUCUACAAGAGCUAGUUCCAGGACAGCCUCCAAAGCCACAGAGAAACCCUGUCUUGAAAAACAAAAAAACAAAAUAAAAAACAAACAAACAAACAAACAAACCAAAAAGACCCCCCAAAAUCUGUGAUGAACCAACACUUGUUAGGAAAAGUCACACAACACAUGCAUUCUCCGUGGUCUCUGCUUCAGUUCCUGCCAUGGCUUUCCCUGAUAAUGGACUGUACCUGUAAGCCAAAUAAACCCUUUCCUUCCCAAGUUCUUUUGCUCAUAGAUCCUUAUCAUAGCAAUAGAAAUUGUGGUGAUUUGAAUUAAAAUGGCCCCAUAGGGAGUGGUGCUAUUAGGAAGUGUGGCCUUGUUGGAGGAAGGGUUUCCCUG
rnacentral:lncRNA from 1 species